GUGCCAGCAGCCGCGGUAAUACGUAAGGACCGAGCGUUGUCCGGAAUCAUUGGGCGUAAAGGGUACGUAGGCGGCUAGAAAAGUUAGAAGUCAAAGGCUAUAGCUCAACUAUAGUAAGCUUCUAAAACUAUUUAGCUUGAGAAAUGGAAGGGAAAGUGGAAUUCCUAGUGUAGCGGUGGAAUGCGCAGAUAUUAGGAAGAAUACCGGUGGCGAAGGCGACUUUCUGGCCAUUAUCUGACGCUGAGGUACGAAAGCGUGGGUAGCAAACAGGAUUAGA
rnacentral:rRNA from 1 species